CUUGAGCCUUCCUGCUUCUGGCUGCUGACUGCCACGUCGAGCUCCGUAAGGAACAGCAGGUUAUUAACUUACUGUACUUUCUGCUGUAUCAAACCUGGCGUCUCGGACUCCGGUAGAAACACUGGAAGAACGGCCAAAACACAUUCUCCGCGCGGAACUGUUCACAACUCCGACUAUCUAUUCUGAUGAAUUCACCAGGAACAGUCUCCUCUAAAAAAAAAACAGAAACUGUUCCUGUGAGCACAACAAAGAAGUAGAGGGAGCGGUCCUGGAGACAACAUGAGGCAACUCAAAGGCAAAGCCAAAAAAGAAACGUCCAAGGACAAGAAGGAGCGUAAGCAGGCCAUGCAGGAGGCCCGACAGCAGGUGGCCACCAUAGUGCUGCCUACACUGGCUGUGGUGGUGCUGCUCAUCGUCGUCUUUGUAUAUGUGGCCACCAGGCCUGGUGCUAUAGAGUAGACAUUCAAGUUCUGCUGAGAACACACAAACUACAAACUGACAAUGGCUAUACCCAAAGGAUUACCCCCUUCAUGAGACUACCGUCCCUCUGUAGGCCCAUGUCUAGCCUACCAAUUGUCUCAAUGAAAACCUCCCCCAAAAGUGCAUCUCUUUGCUCUGACCAGGAUUCAAGCGGCAAAAAGAAGAAAUCAAACAGAGCGAAGAAACCUCUGUGCCUUCAGACGAUUGAGAAUGUUAUCCUGUUAUUUCAGAGUAGCAGAUAGAUUCAUGUUGAUGUCUUAGAAAAAGAUGCAAUACCAUGCGUACCAAAGGACACGUGCACAGCUUGCCAAGUUUGACCAGAGGUGUUAAACAUUUUUUUAAACCUUUGACUCGGUGCUGAUCUAAAUAUUUCUAGUUAAUGCAACAUUAGCCCGGUCUCUGACAUGUACCACUCUUUGGACAGCACUCACACAUAUCUGUAUGAAUAUGUAUGUAUGACUUAGGGACAAAGAACACUUCCGGUUUUUCCUAAAUGCAGCGCCAGAGUUUUUUAUUGAAUGUAUUUGUAGAAUGUGUUAUCUCCAGUCCAGUAUGUUAAAACACACAUGAAUCUUUUCAUCUUUAAUGUGAAUGUUACCCAAUUUGUGUCCAUUAAGUUAUUGACAAGCAUACAUUUGAAUCACUUAUUUCAUCUGUGAGAUUUCAACAAGGUGCCUUAACAGAUUUGAAACUGUAUCAUUUAAGUUCAAUAAAUUACUUUUUAAAUAAUUUGGAAUUUG